GCGACAGCAAUCCUAGUACUGAUGAUAAUAAUAAUAAAAGUGGAGCCACUGUGUACUGCUGCUUAUGAUAGGUGUUCAUGGUCCCUGGGAAGAUGAGAAAGCUGGAGCUCAGGAGGAGGAAAUGACCCGACUGUGGCUGUCGGACCCAGGUUUGGAAUAGAAUGGAAGUUCUACUUUACAACAACUGGUUUGAGAGCAAUGAUGAAGAGAUGGUGAGGAGAAAUGAAGCUACAAGCUACUGUGCACAAGCCCUGCUUUCCCAUGCCUCCCACCGCGCCCUCACGCUCGGCACCUCGGCCUGGCUCUGCUCUCGGCUUCUUCUCUUCUUUUCCAGGAUAUCAUCUACUUCGCUGGCUUUACUAUCACUUUAUGUGGAUGAUACUCCAAGUUACUCCGACCCUGAAGCUGCCUGGACCCCAGACUCCCACAGUCGUCAGCCACUGAAUUCCGGUUCUUCUCACUAGCAUCUCCCAGGCAGCAGAUCUACAGCCCCUUGUGCCCCACCCUGUGUGACUGUCCCCAUCAAUUUAUGUUUGUAGCUGCUUAGAUGAACAAUCUGGGAUCCGUCUUGACUCCUUUCUUCCCUCACCUCACAGCCUCUCACCCAUACGUCUUUUCCACCUUCCCUUCACAGCAAGCCUAGGGUCCAGCCAGCUUUCACCUUCUCUGGACUGCCCUCUUACCUAAGUCACCAUCACGCCUCGUGACCCUGACAUUAGAGCUCCUACCUGGUGUCGUUCCCUUGCCCCUGCCAGUUUUUCCCACUUUUCUGUGACACUCAGAACUCCAAAUCAGAAGAGCUCACCACGGCCUCAGGGCCCAAACACGAAACUGAACUCAGGUUUCCUUCCACCUUCAGUGCCUACCACAUCCCUCCUUGUCUUCCUCCAUCUCCAAUUUAUUUCUCCUGACCAGAUGCUUGGGGUUUUUUAAGGUAACAUUAUAGAAUGAAAUGUA